rnacentral:rRNA from 1 species
CAGCCGCCACGGUAAUACAGAGGGUGCGAGCGUUAAUCGGAUUUACUGGGCGUAAAGCGUGCGUAGGCGGCUUCUUAAGUCGGAUGUGAAAUCCCUGAGCUUAACUUAGGAAUUGCAUUCGAUACUGGGAAGCUAGAGUAUGGGAGAGGAUGGUAGAAUCCCAGGUGUAGCGGUGAAAUGCGUAGAGAUCUGGAGGAAUACCGAUGGCGAAGGCAGCCAUCUGGCCUAAUACUGACGCUGAGGUACGAAAGCAUGGGGAGCAAACAGGAUUAGAUACCCCCGUAGUCCCUGUCUCUUAUAC